rnacentral:rRNA from 1 species
CCCUUAGAUGUUCUGGGCCGCACGCGCGCUACACUGAAGGAAUCAGCGUGGCUUUCUCCCUGACCCGAAAGGGUUGGGAAACCCGUUGAAUCUCCUUCGUGAUAGGGAUUGGGGCUUGAAAUUGUUCCCCAUGAACGAGGAAUUCCCAGUAAGCGCGAGUCAUAAGCUCGCGUUGAUUACGUCCCUGCCCUUUGUACACACCGCCCGUCGCUACUACCGAUUGAACGGUUUAGUGAGGGCCUCGGAUUGGUCUCGGCCCGCUCUUCACCGGGCGGCGCCGUUGGUCGAGAAGACGCUCGAACUUGAUCGUUUAGAGGAAGUAAAAGUCGUAACA